CGGCCGGCGGGAACUGGGGAGCCGCUCCCCACCUCUCGCGGACUUCGGAAUUGGCUGGCGGCCUGACGGGCGCCGCGGCCGCAGCGCGUUUCCGCAGUUUGUCGAGCCCCGAGGAUGCGCGCCCUGCCAGCCCUGGACGCGCCCCCGAGCGAGCGCCUCCUGUCCCGGGACUCCGGGGCCCCCCGGGCCCGGGACGCGGCGGGGCCGACGCGCAGGAGCGCGGUGGAAAGGCUGGCAGCCGACCGCUCCAAGUACGUGCGGGGCCCGCCGGGAGCCGGCCCAGGCCCGGCUUGCGAGGGCAGCAGCCCCGGGGCGAGCCAAGGGCAGGCGGGCGACCCUCGGCCCCCGGCGCGCGUCCCCGGUCCGGUGGCGCGCAGGGCCAUAGCGCGGAAGCCGCUGAGGCCGGACUCGCUGGUUAUCUACCGACAGAAAUGCGAGUUCGUCCGAGGGUCGGGAGCCGACAGCCCCAGGGGAGGCCUGGUGAAGAAGCUCUUCCAGGGGCCGGGCAAGGACAAGACGCCUGGGUCGCCCGGCACGUCCCGGGUGGGGGAGGAGGGCGGGGCCAGGGCCCCGGAGGCCGCCCCGACCGAGCCCGGCCCCGUCGCGGCUCCCGCGGUGCCAGGGCCCUCCGCGCCCCCGGCCCCCGCCCCGCCGGUCAGGGCGCCCUCCAGAGUCCCGGCUGCGCCCCGGGGUCCGGAGCUGCUCGGGGCGAGGCACCGGGGGCUGCAGCGCUCGCAGUCCGACCUCAGCGCGCGCUACUCCGCGUCCUUGGCCGAAUUUGACACCUUCUUCCAGUACUGCGGCCUGGAGCCCGAGGUGGUGGAGGCGCUCGGGCGGGAGAACUUCUCCGCCGGGUCGGACCUCGUCGCCCGCAAGGUCCGCAGCGUGAGCGUCGCCACCUCCGACAGCGGCUUCUCCCGGCACAGCGGCGGCGACGAGGGGCUGCAGGAGGGAGAGCUGACGGAGCAGGUGCCCAGCACCACCUCGGUGGUCGAGAGGAACGCCCGCAUCAUCAAGUGGCUGUACACCUGUAAGAAGGCCAAGGAGACCCCCGGCCAGGGGCUGCAGGGCCCGGCGUGACCGCUGCGCCCCGGGAUACCCGGACCGAGACCCAAAACAGCUCAGGUUAUUUGAACUUCCACCCAGGACACCUAAGGGCUGGCUGCUCGGAGAAUUGUGAGGAAGAAAUGCACGUCCUUUCUCCAGCUCACUGGGACUGGGAUGAUGUCUGCCCACGAUCCUGGCCCCUCGACUCGCCGUCCGCAGACACGAAGUCCCCUCUGAAGAAGAGCCAGGAGAGAGCUCAGACCCUUUGCCUUCAUUGGUGAGGGUCUUCUGGCAGCUUGAACAAAAUGCAGCUGACCUUUUCUCACAGGAUUACUUGCCCGAGAUUAAUUCCAUAACUUCUGGGAGCUGUGGAAGCAAGACUACAAGGAAGCAAGCCUUCCCGACAGUUGGGACUCCUUGAAGUACAUCUGGAUGAUUGGGACCCCAGGCCAUCCUCACUGCCAGGUUUUGUCCAGUGUACCCAGGUGUCCAUAUGAUUGCUGUUUUCCCAGGAAUAAAGCACACCAUUGAAGAAGCCUAAGCAAUUUCAGAAGGUUUGAAGUGCUAUGGAGAAGAUGGGAGCAUAGAACUUGGAAAUUAGCUGAGUUAUAACUGUUAUGACACAGCUGAAGCUCUGGAAGAUAUUUUCUUGUGUUAGGUAGACCUAUUCUUGCUUCCAGAGAGCAGCAGAAGAGGGAAAAGCUGCUUGGAAAUAUUUUCAAGGGCAUCUUUUUGAGUGGCUUGCUGACAAAGAGGUACAAUGAUACAUUUUAAUGAUAUCUAAAUUAAUUUUAAAAAGAAAAAAAGGCAAAGAGCAUGAAAAGCAAACAUGAAUGCCAUGGUAUUUACUUCUUCAAUCAUAUUGGAUGGAUUGGCACCAUCUAAAUCAAAGUUCUGUGAUCAGAAGAAGUUAUAUUCUACACAAAUUCUCUGGCUAACAAAGAGCAAACACAUGCUCACACUUGCAUACUCACAGGUAGACCUCAAUUUCUAAGCACCACUGCCCUGUAAACUACAGUGAAUUGCCAAACUGUGCAACUGAUCAUCUUAUGAAAUGAAUCAGAAAGCACUUUUAAAACCACUUGUGAGCUGCAAGGUCAUUCUGUGAACGCCGCUCCUGUUGGGUUGUAGACAUGCAGAGGUACCAUUAAAAGAUAAAGAGCUGAAAUACUGUUAGGAAACCUUUUCUUGUACUUGGACAGUUCCUUGAGAGUUGGCAGAAGAAUAUUGGAGCUUCGUUCCUUCAGAUCAACAGCAGUGGUCCUCUUCUGCAGCACCGUUUAGAAUGUGCCUCCAUGGUUCUCUUGUUCCCAGCUUCCAAAAGGAUAAAAAGCCUCAGUUUAGACAGAACAUGGACUCAUGACAUGUGACAUGCCCUGCUCUCUGGUCUAAUUCACACACCCACCUAUCAGGCAAUCAUUCCAAACUUGGCAACAGUUCACCCUUCUCUGAAAAGGGUGUGUUUGAGACAAGGGUUAGCCUCUGGGUGUCGGUAAGGAGUUACUGUGACCCUAAAUCUGAACCAGCUCAUGACACUCAGAGUAAAUAGAUUUCAGAUUCAGAAACUUCUGAGAGGAAUUUUGUAUGCAUGAUGACAACCCAAAGAAAAUUUGUCACCUGGUCAAAGCUUACAAUGUUUUAUCAAAAUAUGUCCCUUCAAGAAUAAAAUUAUUAGAAGAAUCGGGAGGGAAGAGAAAUAGGUUUCUCAAUGGUACAAUAUUUUAUAAACCAAUUUUGAUAUAUUCAUGUAUUUGUUUAAUAUUGUAUUCUAUUUUUGUAACUUUUAGUGUGAGAAUAAGUCCUUGAGUUACUUAAAUAUUUAUUUUUACAUAGUUAUUGGUCUUGAAAUAGUUUUCCUACACUUCAUAUGGUUUUAGUUUUUAUCAGGAUAAUUUAAAAUCAUUCUCUCCUUGGUUAUGUUUUUGUAUGUUGUUUAACUGAAUUUCCAAAUUUGAGUGUAAGCAGAGCGUUCACUACUCUAUAAAGUGCUCAGUACUGUGGGGACUUGUUUUUAAGUAAAACACAGAUGCGCAUUUGGGGAGGCUCUGUUGGCUGACUACCUCUGUCAAUGUAGUCUCUAGAAAGACAAAGAUUCCCUGCUCUAAGAAAUUUUUCCCUGUUGUUUUUUUAAAAAUGCUGCUGUUUUGCUGUUCACUGGAUUACACUUAGUUUAAAAGAUAAUGUCAAAGAUGAGAGGAGUUUUCUUUAAAGGGCCUUUUCAUAUAUGCAGUUCCCUUGUUUACAGGUUCCAUUAAUUUUAUAUGUGAAUGCUUUAAGUAAAAUUGUUAUGUGCCUUUCUAUUGUCAGAAUAGGAUGAACCGAAAGCUAGCUCAGAUUUAUCUGAGAUCAAAAUGGUGCAGACUCUACCAUCCAUGUAAUAGAUGAAAAAAGAGAAAAACAAAUUGGUUACCAUUUAAAAGCACCAAGAUCUUCGAGAAGCAUUUGCGCUUCAGUGGAGGCGACUCCUGGAAGUAGCUGCCAGGAACAGGGAAUCCCCAGACCCCAGCAGGAUGGGUUAACGCUCCCUCUUGUCCGUUCAGAUUCAUGCCUAAGCUCUGGGUCUGAGUGUGUGGUUGGAGGCCAGGGGUCCUUUCCUAACUGAAUUACCCCAAUUUGCUGAGUGACUUUGAGAAAAUCAAACUUUGUUGCUCAAUCUGAAUGAAAAAGCUUGUAAUUGCUUUUCACUAUUGCUGCAAAAUAGUUUCUUUUGUUCACAAAAGAAUAGCUUCUCAGAUAAUAUGAUUAAGCACAAUGGAGAGAAAAAAUUAUUGAUACAGCAUGGAAAAUAUCUUGAUAGUAUCUAUUUCAUUAAUACGUGGGUACAGGUCAUCAGUGCCUCAGAGUGAAAGGUAUUUAUGUAACUGGAAAGUUUCCUCACUAUAUACUGAUGCAUAUAGUUUCUAAACUGCUGGUCACUGACACUGGACUACAAAGAAGGCUUUAUCAAACGUUGCCCUUUUCAGUGGGUUAAAGGUGCAGUGCUGUAGUUAUAGUUGGUGAUUCCAUAAAAUAUCAGGCCCAGACAAUUGUUAUGGCUGUUUCUGAAUAGAGUUCAUUUUUUCUACACACUACUUGCGACAUGAGUGCAAUAUUGUACAUUCUGUAUCAAAGAAAUAAAGUAUUUUUUAUCAUUUUUAGUAUUACUUUAUGAAUUUGUACAAUGUGAAAAAACUGAAGCAAGAGUAUGCUUAUUAUAAUUACUCAAAUCUUUGGCUUUCUCCCUUUUUUCCUAAUAUCAUCUCAACAGAUUAUCAGUAGAAAUGAGGAGCGCAUUCUAAAACUUGACCCAGGAGAGCCAUGUGGUACCCAAAGUCUCCAGUUCUCCCUGGAGACGGAAUGCAAUAAAAACAGUUUGAAUAUU